rnacentral:rRNA from 1 species
UACGGAGGGUGCAAGCGUUAUCCGGAUUCACUGGGGUUAAAGGGUGCGUAGGCGGGCAUUUAAGUCAGUGGUGAAAUACCUGAGCUUAACUUGGGAACUGCCAUUGAUACUAUUUGUCUUGAAUGUCGUGGAGGUUAGCGGAAUAUGUCAUGUAGCGGUGAAAUGCUUAGAUAUGACAUAGAACACCUAUCGCGAAGGCAGCUAACUACGCGAAUAUUGACGCUGAGGCACGAAAGCGUGGGGAUCAAACAGG